rnacentral:rRNA from 1 species
GGAGGGCAAGUCUGGUGCCAGCAGCCGCGGUAAUUCCAGCUCCAAUAGCGUAUAUUAAAGUUGCUGCAGUUAAAAAGCUCGUAGUUGAAUUUCGGGACCAUCAUGUCGGUCGUGCCUCGGUACGUACUGGUAUUGUUGGUUUCUCCCUUCUGACGAACCAUGAUGUCAUUUAUUUGGUGUUGUGGGGAAUCAGGACUGUUACUUUGAAAAAAUUAGAGUGUUUAAAGCAGGCUCACGCUUGAAUACAUUAGCAUGGAAUAAUGAAAUAGGACGUUUGAUUCUAUUUUGUUGGUUUCUAGGAUCGACGUAAUGAUUAAUAGGGAUAGUUGGGGGCAUUAGUAUUCAGUUGUCAGAGGUGAAAUUCUUGGAUUUAUUGAAGACUAACUACUGCGAAAGCAUUUGCCAAGGAUGUUUUCAUUAAUCAAGAACGAAAGUUAGGGGAUCGAAGACGAUCAGAUACCGUCGUAGUCUUAACCAUAAACUAUGCCGACUAGGGAUCGGAUGAUGUUAAUUUUUUAAUGACUCAUUCGGCGCCUUACGGGAAAC